AUCUACGGCCAUGCCAUCCUGAACGAGCCCAAUGUCUGAUCUCAGAAGCUAAGCAGGGUUGAGCCUGGUUAGUACUUGGAUGGGAGACCACCUAGGAAGACUAGGUACUGUAGGCA
rnacentral:rRNA from 1 species